UUAUGAAUCAAACCAAAACACAUAAUCAGCCCAAUGAAAUCACAAAAAACAGAUAAAACUAAGAUAUAGACAAAACAAACUUACCAGUUCAUCGUCCAAGCGAAUCCCGGAUCAACUUUUUCACUUUCACUUUUCGAAUUCGAACACACAGGAAAUAGCUUCUCGAUCUCUCUCACCUGACUUCUGCCUCACGAACUCACCCUCUCUCGAACUCA
rnacentral:lncRNA from 1 species